rnacentral:rRNA from 1 species
UACGAAGGGGGCUAGCGUUGCUCGGAUUGACUGGGCGUAAAGGGCGCGUAGGCGGUUUGUACAGUCAGACGUGAAAUUCCUGGGCUCAACCUGGGGGCUGCGUUUGAUACGUGCGAGCUUGAGUUCGGAAGAGGGUCGUGGAAUUCCCGGUGUAGAGGUGAAAUUCGUAGAUAUCGGGAGGAACACCAGUGGCGAAGGCGGCGAUCUGGGCAGACACUGACGCUGAGGUGCGAAAGCGUGGGGAGCAAACAGG